ACGCAGAGGUGGAGAGGACGGCCAAACUGUCUGCUGAUGAUUCAUUUUUUUUUUUACUGCUCAAUCAUCCUUCUCCCUCACAAGAGAGGCCGGUCUUGGCAGCGGGGCGGUUUUAAGCUGAUCGGGACGUCACUGUGGUUUCCACACACACAGCGCUCCGCUUCACAGGCCCAGCUGUGGAUCUUCGCCGUCUUGCAGAUAGGAAGCUGCCUGCUGAUUGGCUGCUGAGUUUUGGAGCGACAGGAAGUCGUCACAGGAUUGGAGUCGCGGUCCGUCUGGAACUCGUUCCCCAAGUUUUCCCCCCCCGUCGACAUCUGACAUAAUAAUUAAAAACGAUGAGUGGAGGGAUUUUUAAAGACACACUCUCGCUGGAUGUGCUCGCUCAGCACCAGGAGGCCAUAAACAUGAUGAAGAUUUACUACUGAUGCUGCUGCUGAAGGAUAUAUUUAAAGAUGGCCAGCCGACCGUUUGAAGCCCCACUGUAAUUAACCUUUGGAGGAGAAUAACAAACCCGUACAGGGGCACUGUGACCAGGCUCCGCUGCUUUGAUGUGGUCCCUGUGUUUGCUCGGCUCUGCGCUGAAUUGGAGGUGAACUCUGCUGACAUGUCUGGGGUUGCUGAGGGGCACGUCACGCCCAGGGGGCCUGCGUCCACACAGCACCACCACCACCAGCAGCAGCAGCAGCAGCAGCAUGGAAAGAUCUGUUAUCAGCCCUCUGAGACGCUGGCUACAUUUGCUGCCAGGAGUUUGGCCACCAGCCAUCGUCUCAGUAGCACAAAUCAUGCAGUCGUCCCUCCCUGAAGCUUCAGCAUUCAGAUGACCAAAAAAAACACCAAAAACAAUCAGCACUAAAAUUAAAGUGAUGAUUGCACAAUUUUUUUGCACAAUUUUUUUCACAAUUCUCUACACUACGCUAUCUGCAAUUGUAUUCAGGGGAAUUAACCCUUUAACACAAAGCGUAGCGCAGAUUU